GUUGGCAGAUGUCUUUGGGGAACACCCCAGGAGUAUUAGCCAUGAGCCCCCCAAGGAGCCAUCUGAAGACAGGAACCAGAACCAAUGUCAGGUGAGGGUGGAGCCAUAGGCCACAUGGGUUCCUGUGCACUGGGGCUUUCACCACCAGCCAGAGGACCAGGGGCACCUUUCCUAUAAGUCCACCCAUGGGUCAGGCCAGAGAUGCCUUUGACCCUGAUGGCAGAUGAAACCUACAGUGGGACAGAUAAGUCAUGAAGCUCCCAGUGUUCUAGUCCCAAGCACUGCUGGCUCCUGCUGCUGGGUGUGGAUGAGGGGCCCCAGAAGUGCUUCCCUUAUGGCAGCAACUCAGAGCAAGACCCUGAUCCAAAGCGUGGCCAGAAAGCAACUUCUCCACUCUCCAAAGCCUCUGAUGCAGGGGCCUCAUUCUGACUCCAGGAAUCUUAUCAAGGGGUCCCUUCACUCUGGACUCUGAGGUGACCGCUUCCUAUUCUGCCAAGAUCAGCCCAAGGCUGCCUCCUUGUUCACUCUGUUCCCACCCUCCUCUGAGGAGCUCCAGCUCAACAAGGCCAUACUGACCUCUCUGAGGAAUGAAUUCUCCACAGGUGUAGUGAGGGUGACCUGGAAGGCACAUGAAAACCUAUCAUCCAGAGCAUGGAUACCGCUAAGCCUCCGAACAGAGCAACAAGAAGCACAUGGCCUGCAGCUACCUAACUAUGACACCUAACCACAGAAAAUCUCACUGUAGACUCAGCUUCCAGGUCAUGCACCAAAGGGACACCAUGGAGAAGAGUGUGUCCAUGGCAAAAGGAACCAGACACCUGAGCUAAGUCCAUGAUGAAGGAUCAGAGGCUGAAAUUCUCUGUUUUUGGUAGGACAUAAGGGAGAGGAAUUUCUAGGUGAAAGGUUCCACAGCUACCUCCUUUU
rnacentral:lncRNA from 1 species